rnacentral:rRNA from 1 species
UACGUAGGGUGCAAGCGUUAAUCGGAAUUACUGGGCGUAAAGCGUGCGCAGGCGGUUAUGUAAGACAGAUGUGAAAUGCCCGGGCUUAACCUGGGAACUGCAUUUGUGACUGCAUGGCUAGAGUUUGGCAGAGGGGGGUAGAAUUCCACGUGUAGCAGUGAAAUGCGUAGAUAUGCGGAGGAACACCGAUGGCGAAGGCAGUCCCCUGGGCCUGUACUGACGCUCAUGCACGAAAGCGUGGGGAGCAAACAGG